ensembl:lncRNA
GAGAGGUUAGCAUGUUUUGUUGUAGUCUCUGUUAUUGGUAAUGGUGAGAGGUUAGCAUGUUUUGUUGUAGUCUCUGUUAUUGGUAAUGGUGAGAGGUUAGCAUGUUUUGUUGUAGCCUCUGUUAUUGGUAAUGGUGAGAGGUUAGUAUGUUUUGUUGUAGUCUCUGUUAUUGGUAAUGGUGAGAGGUUAGUAUGUUUUGUUGUAGUCUCUGUUAUUGGUAAUGGUGAGAGGUUAGUAUGUUUUGUUGUAGCCUCUGUUAUUGGUAAUGGUGAGAGGUUAGUAUGUUUUGUUGUAGUCUCUGUUAUUGGUAAUGGUGAGAGGUUAGUAUGUUUUGUUGUAGUCUCUGUUAUUGGUAAUGGUGAGAGGUUAGCAUGUUUUGUUGUAGCCUCUGUUAUUGGUAAUGGUGAGAGGUUAGCAUGUUUUGUUGUAGUCUCUGUUAUUGGUAAUGGUGAGAGGUUAGCAUGUUUUGUUGUAGCCUCUGUUAUUGGUAAUGGUGAGAGGUUAGCAUGUUUUGUUGUAGUCUCUGUUAUUGGUAAUGGUGAGAGGUUAGUAUGUUUUGUUGUAGUCUCUGUUAUUGGUAAUGGUGAGAGGUUAGUAUGUUUUGUUGUAGUCUCUGUUAUUGGUAAUGGUGAGAGGUUAGCAUGUUUUGUUGUAGUCUCUGUUAUUGGUAAUGGUGAGAGGUUAGCAUGUUUUGUUGUAGACUCUGUUAUUUAUUAUCUAGAUCUUUUUUAAUCAUGGCAUCCUCAAAUCAAAUCAAAUCAAAUUUUAUUUG